rnacentral:rRNA from 1 species
UUAAUUUGACUCAACGCGGGAAAUCUUACCAGGUCCGGACACACUGAGGAUUGACAGGAAGUAUCGUCUUUUGAAUUCUUUAAGGAUAUGUCGUUUUUAAUGACAUCUUUUAGAUGGAUGAUUCGUGUAAAUAUGCUAGUUCUUUCAUGAUUAUGUGAUAGGUGGUGCAUGGCCGUUCUUAGUUCGUGGAGUGAUCUGUCUGCUUAAUUGCGUUUCACUAAGGCCCCAAAGUUAGCAAAUUAUCAAUCGUUACAGAGUCGACCCCUCACCUUUGAGUGCGCGUCCUAACUUGUAGUACAUGGUGUAAAUGGAUUUGUUUUGGGUACCCAGAAAGCAACGAACGUGACCGCAACGUCUUGUUGUCUCUCUUUGACAGUUAUGGGUUAUCCCAGUCAUGUGUUUAUACUUUUAUGUGUAAAUACGUACGACACAGAGACUAGAUACCAAACUAGGCGUACCGCUGUAUCAUUUCUUUAAACCAGAGGAAGGUUGCGGCAAUAACAG